CCCCGCUCAGGAUGAACGCUGGCGGCGUGCCUAAUACAUGCAAGUCGAGCGAAUGGAUUAAGAGCUUGCUCUUAUGAAGUUAGCGGCGGACGGGUGAGUAACACGUGGGUAACCUGCCCAUAAGACUGGGAUAACUCCGGGAAACCGGGGCUAAUACCGGAUAACAUUUUGCACCGCAUGGUGCGAAAUUCAAAGGCGGCUUCGGCUGUCACUUAUGGAUGGACCCGCGUCGCAUUAGCUAGUUGGUGAGGUAACGGCUCACCAAGGCAACGAUGCGUAGCCGACCUGAGAGGGUGAUCGGCCACACUGGGACUGAGACACGGCCCAGACUCCUACGGGAGGCAGCAGUAGGGAAUCUUCCGCAAUGGACGAAAGUCUGACGGAGCAACGCCGCGUGAGUGAUGAAGGCUUUCGGGUCGUAAAACUCUGUUGUUAGGGAAGAACAAGUGCUAGUUGAAUAAGCUGGCACCUUGACGGUACCUAACCAGAAAGCCACGGCUAACUACGUGCCAGCAGCCGCGGUAAUACGUAGGUGGCAAGCGUUAUCCGGAAUUAUUGGGCGUAAAGCGCGCGCAGGUGGUUUCUUAAGUCUGAUGUGAAAGCCCACGGCUCAACCGUGGAGGGUCAUUGGAAACUGGGAGACUUGAGUGCAGAAGAGGAAAGUGGAAUUCCAUGUGUAGCGGUGAAAUGCGUAGAGAUAUGGAGGAAACACCAGUGGCGAAGGCGACUUUCUGGUCUUGACUACACUNGGCGCGAAGAC
rnacentral:rRNA from 1 species